rnacentral:rRNA from 1 species
UACGUAGGGUGCAAGCGUUAAUCGGAAUUACUGGGCGUAAAGCGUGCGCAGGCGGUUCUAUAAGACAGAUGUGAAAUCCCCGGGCUCAACCUGGGAACUGCAUUUGUGACUGUAGAGCUGGAGUACGGUAGAGGGGGAUGGAAUUCCGCGUGUAGCAGUGAAAUGCGUAGAUAUGCGGAGGAACACCGAUGGCGAAGGCAACUCCCCUGGACCUGUACUGACGCUCAUGCACGAAAGGCG